UCACACUGUGCUUCCCACGGAUGGAGCCGGAGCGCACCCCGCGCUCUGGAGCUACGUGUCUUGAGUUCAGGAUUUUCCAGCAGAAUAUAAAGUGCUGAUAAGCAACGAGUGUUUCACCUCUGGUUGGUUUUUCAUACACCCAGCAGCAGAAGGCUGGAAAUGAGAGCACUGAUUACAGCACUGAUGGGUAACAAAUAAAUCAGCCUUGAAAAUGUCAGAGGGAAAGGAGAAACCCCCUGAAAAUGCACAUCAGAGGUCUUGAAGGAGAAAUCUGAAUAAACCUGACACUAAUUCCCUCAUCCAUUACAUUUCUUCCACAGCCACAGUGAGCAGGAAUUGCCAUUAUGGCCUUGUGGGUGUCUGUAAUAAUCUUCCCUAAUGGGUAAUUAACCGUGCACAUUUCUGGUAUAAAACCAAAGGUCUCCUAUGACUCCCAUGAGCCAAAUGCAUUUGAUUCUCAUCCUUUUGCCACAUUUUUCAUGCACAGCUCUGCAGGCUGGAUGGUUAAAAUGUUGAGGCAGGUGGGAAAUCUUGUGAUGAAAACAAAGCAGCCGCCUCUGUGGAGGUGGGACACAGCCUGGUCUUCCCUGAUGGGUGUUUGUUUGCCGUCUUCACUGAAUGUAGCACUGAAUGUGGCUUAAACGGUGUGUCCGUGCUCAGACAGGACAGAGGGAUGGACUUAUCCCAAAUGUGAGUGUGACUGAAGGCAAAUAUUCCAUUUCCCAUGACACACGUGAGGGCCAUGGAGCCAGAGGAGACAACGCCACUGCCUGGGAAAUCAAGUGGACAAGGAAAAUGAAGUGGCUGGAGGGAAGAGAUGCUCCAUAGCCAACAAAGGAGCUGGUGUGGAAACGAUGGAGAGAGAUCUGUACCACGGGAAAAGACAAACAUGGAAUUUCUCGUGCUGGAUUAGAUGGAUUGGAAAGAUGGCAGCUGCCAUCCAGGGAUGUAGGAGAGGUGGAACUCACAGACUUCUUAAAGCAGGAGAACCAGAAAGAAAACUAUGGAAGUUGACCAAGUAAGGAAACGCUUAUACAUGAAAAAAUGUUUCCUGGUUUUAAAAAUGAGAUGAAGAUAUUCAGGAAGGACUUAUUGCCACUCGUUCACAUUAACAUAUUCUGGCCUGGGGCAGAGCCCAAGAAUUACUGAAGACAAUCAUUCCUGUGUUUGACUGUGGCCAGUUGUAAGGGCUGGAGUGGGGAACAGGGAUUUGGGGAGGAAAUGAGAAAAACCCAUGAGGGAGAAGAAAAAUUGCUUCUUGCAGCCCAAAAUCUACAGCCUUAAAUUACAACCAAAAGUAGCCCUUCUUGGAAAAGUAUUAAUUAUUUUUCAUAUUUCAGCCCCUAUAUUUCACUGCACUUAACUGAGAAAUUGUCAAUUAAGAUAAUUAGCUAAUUCAGACAAUUUCACUUGUUUAUUUUCAAACAGCACAGGCUGCCUGAGGUUUUUGAACUGCAAGUUCAAACUGCGCCUCACUUAACCACAGCUUUUACUAACCAGAAGUGAUAUAAAUAUUUGAAACUCAAUAUACAUUUGAAACCAAUAAAGGCUUUAAAAAAAUUAAAAUAUUUUAGCAACAAAUCAAAAUGCACAAAUCGAGAUCAAAAAUUGCCUCUGAGAAAACCUCUGUAUCUGGAUAUGAUGGAGGGAAAUGGUUGGUGAUGCCUCAAUUUCUGGGUCACUUAUUUUAAAUCCUUCUGCUCCAGGUCUCUGUGUGUUUGUUAUUUUAGUUCCAUGGUCCCAGAGUGGGUUAUCACAGACCCUCCUGCUCCCACCAAGGAGGCUUCACAGAGACAUUUAUCUGGGAAGAGGCUGUGUGUGAUUCCCAUUUUCUUAGUCCAGGAUUUUCACGGCCUGCCACAACACAUGUGUUUGAUCCCUGGAUGAUCACGGCCUCACCGGAGGAGCAGCAAGGACAAUGGAACAUCCCCAGGCUUGGUGGUUCCUAAACCAGCAGAAAUCCCCAACCACUGCAAGCUCUGAGCAGGUUUCUCCGGAAACCAGGGAACAGGUCAUGGACUGCAUUUCAGGUGCCUACCCACACGUAUGAAAAGAACGUGCAAAAAGGACAAAAAACAAGCAAAGAGUGUGAGUAUAGACCUAGAGAAGGACCAGAGACAGCAGGAAUACUGAGGAGUGUCUCUACACCCAAUGUUUUUGGUUGUUUAUGCCAAAUCCAAGGAAACAGGAUCCCACAUACACUCCCCAUGAAAAGAUAGCAUUGCACUUGCAUUUUUACUUUGGCUUCACUCCUCCCCUCCCCCUUGUAUCAUUUUUAUUUAAUUGCUUCCUUCCCCUUCCCUUUUUCUUCCUCUUUGCCUAUUUCCACCCUUUCACAACAGACAAGAAGCACAGUGCCAUUUACAGCCUUCAGAUCUCCCAGGCCUCACCCUCUGCCCCGGGGGGCUCCACAUUCCACUCACCAGCAGCUCUCUGGAGCAGGGCUGUGCCCAGAGGCCACUGUGCCCUGCUCCCAGUUGGCCAGCCCAGUCCCUAAGUGGGUUAUUAUUGUAAUAAUAAAGAGAUCACAAAUA